UACGGAAUGUGCAAACGUUAUUCGGAAUCACUGGGCUUAAAGAGUCCGUAGGCGGCAUGUUAGGUGAGGUGUGAAAUCCCCCGGCCCAACCGAGGAAUUGCGCUUCAAACCGGCGUGCUUGAGGAAGAUAGAGGUGGGCGGAACUGAUGGUGGAGCGGUGAAAUGCGUUGAUAUCAUCAGGAACACCGGAGGCGAAAGCGGCCCACUGGGUCUUUUCUGACGCUGAGGGACGAAAGCUAGGGGAGCGAACGGG
rnacentral:rRNA from 1 species